UCAAAGCCUGUCUCAGUUCGGAUUGGAGGCUGAAACCCGCCUCCAUGAAGUUGGAUUCGCUAGUAAUCGCGCAUCAGCCAUGGCGCGGUGAAUACGUUCCCGGGCCUUGUACACACCGCCCGUCAAGCCAUGGGAGCCGGGGGUGCCUGAAGUUCGUGACCGCAAGGAGCGACCUAGGGCAAAACUGGUGACUGGGGCUAAGUCGUAACAAGGUACC
rnacentral:rRNA from 1 species